CUUGAUCUAGUCCGGGAUAAUUCCCGAGAAAACUUCGCACUGGCAAGAGAUCAGAUAAGAGCAAAGAAGGAUCGGUCAGGUGGGCAUCCAAAGUCUCUUUUUGUUUUCACGAAGUAUCUAGAAAUCAUGUAAGUAUACCUGAGCUGAUCUUCCAUUGUAGGACCAAAGGGAGGGCGUUGUUGCCGUGAUGCAGCUUCUUGUAGAUGAACAAGUGAUGCG
rnacentral:lncRNA from 1 species